CUGCUGCUGCUGCUGCUGCAGCAGCUGCUGCUGCUGCAGCAACUGCUGCAGCAGCAGCAACUGCUGCAGCAGCAACUGCUGCAGCAGCUGCUGCAGCAGCAACUGCUGCUGCAGCAGCAAACGCAGCGUCUGCCGCGGGAGCUCCCGAUUCGGCUCCCGGGACAGAUGCCACCGCAGCUGCGGCUGCGGCAGCUGCUGCGUUUGCUGCUGCUGCUGCAGCAACAGCUGCUGCUGCUGCAGUAACAGCUGCUGCAGCAGCAGCAGCUGCUUCGU
rnacentral:sRNA from 1 species